rnacentral:rRNA from 1 species
GACGAACGCUGGCGGCGUGCCUAAUACAUGCAAGUCGAGCGGAGUAAAAAGCGUGCUUGCACGGUUUUUAUUUAGCGGCGAACGGGUGAGUAACACGUAGGUAACCUGGCCAUAAGACAGGGAUAACGCACGGAAACGUGAGCUAAACCAGAUAGGCAUUUUCCACGCAUGAGGGAGAUGAGAAAGGACGGAGCAAUCUGCCGCUUAUGGAUGGACCUGCGUCGCAUUAGCUAGUUGGAGUGGUAAAGGCACACCAAGGCGACGAUGCGUAGCCGACCUGAGAGGUGAGCGGCCACACUGGGACUGAGAC